rnacentral:lncRNA from 8 species
AUGCACUGUAAACCAUUGAAGAGUUUCUUUCGAAUGAGUUGCGUUUUUUGGUCCAUUGCGGAACCAACUGGCCCGUGCGUCUCGCCCAUGAUGUGUUUUGCGCGCCAUAAGAGGCCGGAACUAGCAGACCAUGGGAAUCGCAGAAUAGUGUCACAUGAAGUUUCGAUUACAACCCAGACCAAGGGACUCACUAACCGGUCUUGAAGGGAUCAAGACACAUGGAAAACAUCAGGUUGGGUCACCACAGCAACCUUGGAUGGAGGCGAAGCAUGAGGAGAGGGCGAUCGAUCGUUCAUUAAAGUUACAGUGAAGGUACAGUUAGUGUGGCUCACUGCUCUAAAUGUUAUCUGCUAAAUCAAACAUAAAGCAUAUGUACAAUUUAAUCUUUCUCAACAAAUGAACCAUUAUUUCUUGACUAUCUUGAUGAAGUGAUAGGCUACGUUAUCUGUUUUGUUUAAGUUAUUGAAAUUGCUUUGAUUCUGUAGAAUUCUGUUGAAAUCACUUUUCUAAAUCCCUAUGACUGCUCAACAGAACCUCAAUUUCCCCUCAUCUGGAUAGAAUAGGAAUUACACCUCCAUCUAGUUUAAACAUAUUAACCUACUGCACACGACUGUGCAGAUUCCUUGGCUAAAGAGGACCACUGGAACACAAACAUGUCGCGAUGUAUCAGGUAUAAAUGCAUGUUUCAAAUAUGUUUUUCAAAAGUGUUUUUUUUUUUACAAGAAAGACAAUGUGAAAUUAUUUAAGUUUAAAUAAGAUCUUUAUUAGACUCGUUGCGAGUCCAUUGGUGCUUUGGAAGAUGCACAGUAAAACUAUAGAGCUGUUUCGGCCGCUUACUACAGGGCAAAUUACUUAAUACAAUGUGUCGACUUUUAUCAAUAACCAAAUUACUAAGUAUAUUUAUUCUCAUUCAAGUUUUGUAUUGUGUCUUUAUGAAAGCAUGUCUGAGGAGAUAAUCGUUUUAACGUCUGCACUUUAACGCUGAAGACAGCACAGCAUGUCAUGUUGUUAAGUGGCAAUAUUAUAUCAUGCCAACAAGUUAAUUCGACUUUUUUCCACCACUUUUUAAAAUUAAUUUCGAUAUUAGCAAAUCAUUAUUUAUUACUAUUAGAACCGUGAUAUAUUUUGUCUACUAGGUUUACAUUGAUACAAGCAUGGUUUGACCAAUCUUCUUUUAUUUCUGGAAUAUUCAUAAACAAUGCAAAAUGUAAGCAUAUAGUUUGAUUAUAAGCAUUGCGUGGAAAUUGAAUGUAAUAUAUUUAAUUUUAUUAUUUCUGUAGUCUGUAAUUAGUUGAACAUUUUAAUCGAGUUUGAGGUUCUUAACACUUUCAAUAUUGCAUUAUGCAUGUUUAUAGCCUAUAAAAGAGGCCCUCAAAAUUGACUGAAGUCUAUGGAGUCUUUUUUUUGGUGCAUAAAUACAUGUUUGAGAGACGAAGGACCUCCUGCUGGUAAAGUGGAUAGGUUGUGUGCAAGUGUGGCUCUGCAAAAGUCACGUGACAAAACCAAACAAAAACUAAAAGGUUCCCCAAAUGUUAGUUGUGAAACGAGGAACAUUUGCAUGAAUUUCAUUUUCUUUUUGUAACGGUUGACAGAUAUGCUAAGUUUUUAUUCAGUAGUCCUCACAUACGGGAGCCUGCUCAUUUAAAUAAAACGAACAGACUUUAAAUAGAGUACAUUUGAGAUAACGAAUCAGCCUAAAACGUAUCUUGUCACUCGUUUGAUUUCCAGGAGAAAUGUGUAAUGUGUUUCAGUCUAAUGAAUGUAUUCUUUCAAUCAAAAAUAACACAAUAAAAAAUUUAAAAAAACGAACCGACACCAAAUAGUUAUGUUUUUCCAUUCAUAAUUUGAUCGAAUAGUUCAAAAGUUGGUGUUACUGGUGUUGCUCAAACCAGGACACUCUCCAGUUGUGGUGGCGGCUGGAGGUAGGCCAGUGUGCGCACGGGCCUGGGUCCCUAAAGGUGUCCACUUCUCGUGUCAUGACACCUC